AUUACUUUUAACAAGGUGCUAGAUAUAAUACUCUGAUACCACAGAUACCAGAGUGCCCUCAAAUUCCAUUGACUCCAAGUGAGGAUAUUCAGCAGUUCCUAAUUCAGACCUCACCAUAUCAGGAUGAUUGCCAAGUGGGAGUUCUAUGCAGUAAUGAAAAUAUUAGCAGUUAGUGCACAAUAGUAUGGCAGUAUGUCUUCCUGGCAGUUGGAAAACAAUACUUUCCUUAAUAAACAUAGAGAACACCUGCCUUUUGUCUAUUAUUCCUGGCAGUACUUUGACUGUCUAUCACUGGGCUCUUUAUUGCACUACAAGAGGGAAGUUGGUGACAGCACAGACAUGAGGAUCCCUUGGAUGGAAGAGAUGCUAGCUCUUCAUGGUACAGAUUCUGUAGGGGUCAUUUUAAUUGUCUUUAGCUGACUACAGAAGCUCCAUAAAGGCAUAGUGUGUUAGGGGAAGUGUCCCAUCCAAUCUGCUGUCCAGAUGAUAGUGGUCAUCUUUCAAUAUAUGGAAAAGUGGAAAAUCCCUUCUCCUUUAGAAGCUGAGUUUGGAGUGCAGUGAAUUAUUAAUCUACAAUGGGGAACACUUCAGAAGAAUGCAGCUCAGGAGUCCGCUACCACACUCCUGUCAAGACUAAUGGAUUUACUUGGCUUUCAUUUGGCACAGGGGGAAGAUGGGGUUUAAUUUCUGAGGCAAUUUUUAAAAAGCUACAUAAAACUAAAGUUCUGGGGAGGGACUGUUAUUUGUUUCUUUACCCCAGUCUUAUUAGACAGAUCAAUGUUUCAAAAGGCUUUGCAAAUUGCAGGGGUAGAUACUGAUUUCAUCACACCAAGCUGAUGCUAUAACGGGUUAUAUGUUUUCCCACAGGUCAGAAUUCAGGGUUGUUUGUGUACCCAGUUUACAUAUUCAAUUGACUCGAUUGAUAUAUGUCUUUAUGUGCAUAUGCAUGUAACAACUGCACAUGGACAGUCUUGAAAUCCAGGUCAGUAUACUGACAUUUUGAGAAGUGGGGAAAACAAAGAAAGAAAAACAAAGAAACCUUUCAUAUCUUUUUCCACAUUCAGAGUAAAAAUAGUUUCCUACUUAUAUGCUUAUAGUUCAUAAAUAUACUCUGUGAGCCAGAUUCUCAGAGAGUCUAGAUCAGUGUCAUUAUCAGUUCCUUUCUUUCAUUAGAGAAAAAUAUUUAAGUCAGCAGAUAGAAUUUUCCUAUUAUAAAGCAUGCAACAGCUGAGUUAAACAACAAAAAUGCUUAAGUAGGAGAGAAAGAAAAGAUCCUUUUCUUCAUUUUUAGAUAAAUUGUUUCAUUCUGGAAGUUUCUUACUAUCUUGGAAUGGAAGAACCAAUAAUGUUAGAGUAGGGAUUGUCGGCAAAUAACCAUUAGAAGAAAAUUAGGGAAGCUUUAGAAGAGGUCUAUGAGCUGGAACAUAUAAUGGGAAAAUUCAUUAAAGACUGACCAACCCUGAGACAGAGCUGAGAAAAGAGAAAGAAUUCAUUCCAAUUGUUACUUUGAAGAUUAUACCACAGACUGGCUACCAAGACAUUUUGUUUAUUAAUUUAUUGAACGUACCAUCGAAAGAGGAAGCAGGGUAAAGAACAGAAAGUAGCACUUUGGGGAAGCUGGUUUAUUUUCAUUAUUUACCAGCCCUCUCUUCAUUUUAUUAUUUUAUUUUUCUUCCUAAUCUUAUAUUUAGAUAAGAGGUCUCAAAUCUACAGGAUUAUUAAGGCCCUGGCAGUUUUUAUGAGUGUAAGAUGUUAGUUUCUGUCACAGUAUCAAUGAAAAUUAGGCAAAAGAAAAUUAGAAGGCUUAUAGAAGGGGUAUAGAUUGAUGUUUGUUUUCAAUGAAACCCCUGUCCUGCUCAAAUUCUCAGUUGGUUAGUUAUAUUUUGGGCACAUCUACAUGAGAUGCUACAUCACCAUAGUGAUGCUAUGGCGGUGUUGCUUAUUGCUGUGGUGAUGUAGCAUCAGCUGGCAUGAGCUGUGACUCCAGUGCUAUCACACAGUAGCAGCAAGCUACUGCGUAGUAGUGUCAGAAACAACCCCUGGGGUGCUGGGACUGCACGGUAAUAGUGGUUACUGUGCAGUCAUUUAGUAUUUGCUUAGUACUUACUUAAGCAAGUACUAAAUGACUGCACAGUAACAACUGCACAGUCUAGCACACAUAGAUUCACCCUCUGACUCUCAAAAUUCAGCUUGAGGAUUAGAUGAAUAAUCUGUCUGACAUAUAAUACUGUUGAUGCAAAGUACACGGGUUUUAGAAGGAUACAUAGUGACACCUGGUACUAGAAGAGAGUCAACCUUCACUUUGUAAGUGCCAGCACACCAAGGGGAAAUUAUAUCUUCUAAUGCCUCAAAUUGUUGUGCUCUUCAGAUUUUGUGUUAUAUUUUCUCACCAUUUUCUGUAGACCCCUCCAAAGGAAGCUUAAUCCAAUGUUUUUAGAACUGUAUCUUCAGGAAUUCUGCUCUCCCACCAAAGAAUGGUGUGAUGUUUCCUGAUUUCUUGUUUUUGCCUGUCUUUUGUUAGGGCCUGAAUUACCAAAACACUUAUGUGCAUGAUUUACAUUAGAAAAAUCAGGAUUUCCUAAGACCUUGAACAAGUUAUUUAAGCACCUUGGCUCACAUUCUGCUCUGCUCCACUUCUGAGAGCUUUUAGUUGUUUAAGCCAAGCUACAGAUUGAUAUAGAUUCUCUAUACAUCUCCAUUUUAGCUUGAAAACAUCCAUAGGCAGCUACACUUGGCCUUCUGGGCAUGCUCAGAAGUGAUCCAAUGAUGCUGCAUAGCUAUCUAAUUCCAUUUACAUUCUCUUGCAAUCCAAAUCUAAGUGGAAAGUGUAUAAUCUCUAUAAAUCUCCACAUUCCUAGGUAAAGGAGGACUGCAUUUAGCAACUAUUUGAUAAGUUAGCUAUUCCCAACUUUUGUCCAGUAACUUGUUGGUUAAAACACAUGCCUAGGAAGUGAGAGAUUGGGUUCUAGGCCCAUUUCACCCUGCAAAGAUUUGAAUAUCUAUUUUUCAGUCUCAUCCAUAAGGUAAGCAAGGCACACAGUAUCAUACUCCACCCCUUCGGCUGAAGCUGGGCCACUGGGCAAAAGAUUAGUGGAGCCAAAAGGAAAGCAAGCAAAAAUAUCCUUAUUUCUGCAGCCCAAUCAGAUAGCUGCUCUUUGUUCACAAUGCUGUUUAUUCACGUUAUCCAAUGAUUAUUUAAUUUAAAACACAUGAACAACACUAGCUACAGCCGCUGGGGGUCAAAGCAUCUUUUCUUCCACCCAGGGCAGGUACAAUGCAUCCCUAGAAUUACUUAAGUUUUUUUUGUUGUUGCGAGAAUGAGAGAGCCCUGCAAUUCUGCACAUAUAAUUGGACCCACCUUUGGGACUGCACAAGACUGAAAGGACUAGGCAUCUCCCUGCUUGGGCUUCGAUAUCUCUUGUGAGUUUGAGUUGUGCUUUGUAAGCCAACAUCAGCAAAAAGUUUAGAUAACUCAGGAGCAGACUAGGAUCAGGGCCAUUGUGCCUCUAUUUGCCUGAUUGUGAAAAGUGUAAUGUCAGUCUGUUAUUAAUGCAUAAAUAAUGUAAGAUAUACAAAAACAAAAAGUGAACAGCUAAUUAAAAAGGAUUUGGCAAUUCUCAAACACACCAUAUUUGAAUAAUCUAUGCUUAACAUAAACAGAUCUUUCUAUAUGCUUUCUACAUGCACUUAGCUAUUGGAUGUUGGGGAAAAAUAUUCCUUCACUCAUGUUUCAGUAAUUAUUCAGUGUAUUUUUAGAUUUACCUUUGUUUCUUGAAGAACAGACAUUAGUUACUGAUUUUAAAAAACAACCAGUAUGCUUCAGGGUUUUUUUUAAGAUGCCUUUCUACAAGUAUUGACAAGGGAAAAUGGUUAGAAAACAACAAAAAUAAAAGGUUUUUUUCCCUCA
rnacentral:lncRNA from 1 species